rnacentral:rRNA from 1 species
UACGUAGGGGGCGAGCGUUGUCCGGAUUUAUUGGGCGUAAAGCGCGCGCAGGCGGUUCGUUAAGUCCGAUGUGAAAGCUCCCGGCUCAACUGGGAGAGGUCUUCGGAUACUGGCGAACUCGAGGGAGGCAGAGGAAGGUGGAAUUCCGGGUGUAGUGGUGAAAUGCGUAGAGAUCCGGAGGAACACCAGUGGCGAAGGCGGCCUUCUGGGCCUUUCCUGACGCUGAGGCGAGAAAGCGUGGGGAGCGAACCGG